rnacentral:rRNA from 1 species
UACGAAGGGGGCUAGCGUUGCUCGGAAUCACUGGGCGUAAAGGGUGCGUAGGCGGGUCUUUUAAGUCAGGGGUGAAAUCCUGGAGCUCAACUCCAGAACUGCCUUUGAUACUGAAGAUCUUGAGUUCGGGAGAGGUGAGUGGAACUGCGAGUGUAGAGGUGAAAUUCGUAGAUAUUCGCAAGAACACCAGUGGCGAAGGCGGCUCACUGGCCCGAUACUGACGCUGAGGCACGAAAGCGUGGGGAGCAAAGCAGGAU